CAUGAUGCUAACCCACAGGUACAACACACAGACAUGAUGCUAACCCACAGGUACAACACACAGACAUGAUGCUAACCCACAGGUACAACACACAGUCAUGAUGCUAACCCACAGGUACAACACACAGACAUGAUGCUAACCCACAGGUACAACACACAGACAUGAUGCUAACCCACAGGUACAACACACAGUCAUGAUGCUAACCCACAGGUACAACACACAGACAUGAUGCUAACCCACAGGUACAACACACAGACAUGAUGCUAACCCACAGGUACAACACACAGACAUGAUGCUAACCCACAGGUACAACACACAGACAUGAUGCUAACCCACAGGUACAACACACAGACAUGAUGCUAACCCACAGGUACAACACACAGACAUGAUGCUAACCCACAGGUACAACACACAGUCAUGAUGCUAACCCACAGGUACAACACACAGUCAUGAUGCUAACCCACAGGUACAACACACAGACAUGAUGCUAACCCACAGGUACAACACACAGACAUGAUGCUAACCCACAGGUACAACACACAGACAUGAUGCUAACCCACAGGUACAACACACAGACAUGAUGCUAACCCACAGGUACAACACACAGACAUGAUGCUAACCCACAGGUACAACACACAGUCAUGAUGCUAACCCACAGGUACAACACACAGACAUGAUGCUAACCCACAACACACAGUCAUGAUGCUAACCCACAGGUACAACACACAGACAUGAUGCUAACCCACAGGUACAGUAGGACUUCUAUACAACACACAGACAUGAUGCUAACCCACAGGUACAACACACAGACAUGAUGCUAACCCACAGGUACAGUAGGACUUCUAUACAACACACAGACAUGAUGCUAACCCACAGGUACAACACACAGACAUGAUGCUAACCCACAGGUACAACACACAGACAUGAUGCUAACCCACAGGUACAACACACAGUCAUGAUGCUAACCCACAGGUACAACACACAGAUAUGAUGCUAACCCACAGGUACAACACACAGAUAUGAUGCUAACCCACAGGUACAACACACAGUCAUGAUGCUAACCCACAGGUACAACACACAGACAUGAUGCUAACCCACAGGUACAGUAGGACUUCUAUACAACACACAGACAUGAUGCUAACCCACAACACACAGACAUGAUGCUAACCCACAACACACAGACAUGAUGCUAACCCACAGGUACAACACACAGACAUGAUGCUAACCCACAGGUACAACACACAGACAUGAUGCUAACCCACAGGUACAACACACAGACAUGAUGCUAACCCACAACACACAGUCAUGAUGCUAACCCACAACACACAGACAUGAUGCUAACCCACAGGUACAACACACAGACAUGAUGCUAACCCACAGGUACAACACACAGACAUGAUGCUAACCCACAGGUACAACACACAGACAUGAU